CCUACGGGUGGCUGCAGUGGGGAAUAUUGGACAAUGGGGGGAACCCUGAUCCAGCCAUGCCGCGUGUGUGAAGAAGGCCCUCGGGUUGUAAAGCACUUUCAGUGAGGAAGAACGCCUGGUGGUUAAUACCCAUCAGGAAAGACAUCACUCACAGAAGAAGCACCGGCUAACUCCGUGCCAGCAGCCGCGGUAAUACGGAGGGUGCGAGCGUUAAUCGGAAUUACUGGGCGUAAAGCGCGCGUAGGUGGCUUGAUAAGCCGGUUGUGAAAGCCCCGGGCUCAACCUGGGAACGGCAUCCGGAACUGUCAAGCUAGAGUGCAGGAGAGGAAGGUAGAAUUCCAGGUGUAGCGGUGAAAUGCGUAGAGAUCGGGAGGAAUACCAGUGGCGAAGGCGGCCUUCUGGACUGACACUGACACUGAGGUGCGAAAGCGUGGGUAGCAAACAGGAUUAGAUACCCGUGUAGUC
rnacentral:rRNA from 1 species